CUCAUAAAUGGUAUUAUGAAGAGACAGCUGAAGAGCUAGUUAGCCCCUUCCACCAUGUAAGAACACGGCAAGCAGGCACCAUGUACGAACCAGAGGGCAAAAGCUCUCACCAGACACUGAAACUGCCGGUGACUUGAUCGUGAACUUCCCAGCCUCCAGAACUAGCCUUCUCAUAGCAGCAUCAGAAGGGUGAUGAACAGCUGGCGAAAGAGUACUUUGGAGUCAGUUCUUGCUGAUGCGUGUGUCUUACCUCCAUGGGUCGAAAUUCUACUCUCCAUCCAAUGUCUGAGUUUGGAGGAGGGGGCUUAAAUCUCAUUGUCUGCCAAUUUGUGGACUGGAUAUUCUAUGAUACAAAAGCAGAGAAGAAAACCAACUUUUCACACAUCGAGGAAAAUAUUAAGAUGAUCUGGUAUUUAAUUAAGGAAGAAGACUGCUCACUCUCCAUACCAAAUUUCAAUUGACAAAUACAAAAAGGUACGAUUUAAGAUUUUCUUGGAGUGUGCUCUUUUAGGAAAACAAAACAGCAAGUGUUUAACAAAAGCUAGAGGCCCCAUCCCUGCAAGCUUAAUCCCACCCAGCUCCUACUCCCUAUCUCCCAGCUACAGGGCAGCAUCCGAAGAGCCACGGGGCCCCCACCUUCAUCCCUGAGAAUUUUAGGAGCCAGCCUGCCUUUCCAGGUGACACUGGACACUUUCAUCUGAGAACCCUGUCACACGACAGUUGUUUCCUUUCUUCCUCCUCUCCUGGGAAUGCUGCUGCUUCGAUGAUCCCCAGAGCCUAGAAAGGGUAGCUCUUUCUCAGUACACGGAGAGAGAGUUCUUUCUCGGCCCUGACCAUCUUGGGACCCGAUGGCAAGACUGGAAGGAUUUAUAUCUCCUUUUGUAUAGAAAACUGCCUCCCCAUGUUGGUUUGUGAAGUGAAAUGCGUAUAAAACAGAGGAUUCCAGACUCUCAGAAGUCAAUAAAUAAAUAAAUAAAAAUAAAACUGAGAAGAUACCUCAAAAUGGUCAGACUCAUUGGCAUCAUCCAGGUGUAUUUUCUCUUCAAACAGUGUCAGUGGGUCUCUAAUAAAGAGAUGAGCAACAUGCUGGGCCAGGAGAUGAUCAAUGCCUGCAAAGAGAGAUCACAUGGGAACUCACUGCAAAGCGGGAGAUACCACUUCCUCUUAGUCCAGAAAGACGACAGGAUAGCUCAGGAAGUUUGAAGAAAGGGUGUCUCGAAGCUUGAAAUAGCUGGUUUGAUUAGUAUCCUCACCUCACCCAGUAUUUCAUCCUGUGGACACUGCGGAAGUGUCAGCGUUUUAUUCACUACUUACACAAUGCCUGCUGGGGCACUGGGGUGGACCUAGACACAAACCUCCUAAGUAAGUUCCUUUUGCUAAAAGUCAAGAAAAUCUCACAAGUAUUUGGAACCUGAAACUUUAGGAAUAAGCAGCCUCAUAAGAAAAGUUAAAGACUUCGCACUAAAAAUAGAAACAGACCAGGAGUCAGCAAAAAAGUGUAAAAGAGCUUUGAAGAACUAAAGGCGCAUGAUCAAACCCAGAAAGAUGGAGCAGAUACCCACCUUCCUGCAACAGCUGUUCGUAGAUCUCUUUAUCUAUCGUCAAGUCGAUGUCAUUAUAUUUCUCACCACACUUAGAUAAAUAGCUGUCUAUUGAGUCAUAUCGGGAUUUACUGAUCCUAUAGUUAUUGUUCUUCAAUGGCUAAAGAUUAAAAAUAUAUACAAAUGAA